rnacentral:tRNA from 1 species
CGCGGGGUGGAGCAGGCAGGUAGCUCGUCGGGCUCAUAACCCGAAGGUCGUUGGUUCAAAUCCGGCUCCCGCAACCA